GACGAACGCUGGCGGCGGGCUUAACACAUGCAAGUCGAACGGUCACUUCGGAGUUAGGGUCCGACGGGUGAGUAAGAGGUGGGAACGUGCCUUUUGGCUCGGCCUAACUCAGGGAAACUUGUGCUAAUAGGGAACGAGCCCUUCGGGGGAAAGAGUUAUCGCUAUUAGAGCGGCCCGCGUCUGAUUAGCUUGUGGGUGAGGUAACGGCCCACCCAGGCGGCGAUCAGUAGCUGGUCUGAGAGGAGGACCAGCCGCACUGGGACCGGGCCACGGCCCAGACUGCGACGGGAGGGAGGAGUAGGGAACAUUGCGCGAUAGGCUAAAGCCUGACACAGCCAUGCGGGGUGAAGGAUGAAGGGCUUUGGAUUGUUAUAUUCUUUGACCAGGGACGAUAGUGACGGUACCCGGAGAAGAAGCCCCGGCUAACUACGUG
rnacentral:rRNA from 1 species